GCGUGAAUCUGCCGGGACCAUCCGGUAAGGCUAAAUACUCCCGAGAGACCGAUAGCGAACCAGUACCGUGAGGGAAAGGUGAAAAGCACUUCGAACAGAAGAGUGAAAUAGUUCCUGAAACCGUGCGCCUACAAGCGGUCGGAGCUCGUUAAUGAGUGACGGCGUGCCUUUUGCAUAAUGAACCUACGAGUUGCCUUUGCCGGCAAGGUUAAGUGUGACGACACACGUAUCCGAAGCGAAAGCGAGUCUGAAGAGGGCGUAUAGUCGGCAGUGGCAGACGCGAAACCAAGUGAUCUACCCUUGGCCAGGUUGAAGGCUGGGUAACACCAGCUGGAGGACCGCACCAAUAAGCGUUGAAAAGCUUCUGGAUGAGCUGAGGGUAGGGGUGAAAGGCUAAUCAAACUUGGAGAUAGCUCGUACUCCCCGAAAUGCAUUUAGGUGCAGCCUUGCGGGUUACUGAUGUGAGGUAGAGCGACUGAUAAGAUGCGAGGGCUUCACCGCCUAUCAAGUCUUGACAAACUCCGAAUGCGCAUCAGUUCUACCGCAGGAGUGAGGGCAUGGGUGCUAAGGUCCGUGCCCGAGAGGAGAAGAAUCCGGACCACCUGCUAAGGUCCCGAAAUGACAGCUAAGUUAAACUAACGAAGUCUGACUGCUAAGACAGCUAGGAUGUUGGCUUGGAAGCAGCCAUUCAUUUAAAGAGUGCGUAACAGCUCACUAGUCGAGGAGUCGGGCGUGGAUAAUAAUCGGGUAUCAAGUUGUCUACCGAAGCAGUGGGAUCAUUAAUAUGAUCGGUAGGGGAGCAUUCCAGUCAGCGUCGAAGGCGUACCGUGAGGUAUUCUGGAGCGUCUGGAAAAGCAAAUGUAGGUAUAAGUAACGAUAAAGGGGGCGGGAAACCCCCUCGCCGAAAGACUAAGGUUUCCUGAUCAACGCUAAUCGGAUCAGGGUCAGUCGGGUCCUAAGGCUCAGCCGAACGGCGAUGCCGAUGGCAGAAACGGUUAAUAUUCCGUUACUACCUUCAGGAGUGACGUGGAGACGCAGUAGUGACAGUGCCGCCAUCUGACGGAAUAGAUGGUUGAAGGGUGUAGGAGUCGAUCAUGGCAGGCAAAUCCACCAUGAGAUCCGAACCUGAUAGUAUGCCGCGUCCUUCGGGACAAGGCAAUAGUGCGCGUAAGCAUGCUGCCGAGAAAAUCCGCUAAACUUAAUCCUGCAGGUACCCGUACCGCAAACGGACACACGUAGUCGGGUUGAAUAUACUAAGGCGCUUGAGUGAUUCACGGUUAAGGAACUAGGCAAACUGACCCUGUAACUUCGGGAUAAAGGGUCCCUACCCUUUUAUGGGAGGGCGCAGAGAAUCGGUCCAGGCAACUGUUUAACAAAAACACAGGGCUGUGCCAAAUCGAAAGAUCCAGUAUACAGCCUGACACCUGCCCGGUGCUGGAAGGUUAAGAGGAGAUGUCAUCGAUAAGAGAAGCGUUGAAUUGAAGCCCCAGUAAACGGCGGCCGUAACUAUAACGGUCCUAAGGUAGCGAAAUUCCUUGUCGGGUAAGUUCCGACCUGCACGAAUGGUGUAAUGAUCUGGACGCUGUCUCAACCGUGAGCUCAGUGAAAUUGUAGUAUCGGUGAAGAUGCCGAUUACCCGCGAUGGGACGAAAAGACCCCGUGAACCUUUACUAUAGCUUAUCAUUGAAUCUGGGCACGUGAUGUGUAGGAUAGGUCGGAGGCUUUGAAGCAGGUACGCCAGUAUUUGUGGAGCCGCUGUUGAAAUACGACCCUUUAUUUGUUUGGAUUCUAACCCGUGGAACGGGGACAUUGAUUGGUGGGUAGUUUGACUGGGGUGGUCGCCUCCAAAAGCGUAACGGAGGCUUCUAAAGGUGCCCUCCGGCCGAUUGGUAACCGGCCUUAGAGUGUAAUGGCAUAAGGGCGCUUGACUGGGAGACUGACAAGUCGAUCAGGUAGGAAACUAGAGCAUAGUGAUCCGGUGUUUCCGUAUGGA
rnacentral:rRNA from 1 species